rnacentral:rRNA from 1 species
UUGGAGGGCAAGUCUGGUGCCAGCAGCCGCGGUAAUUCCAGCUCCAAUAGCGUAUAUUAAAGUUGUUGCAGUUAAAAACGCUCGUAGUUGAAUUUCGGGAUCAAUUUGUUGGUCGUGCCUCGGUACGUACUGGCAUUAUUGGUUUCUACCUUCUGAAGAACCUUGAUGUCAUUAAUUGGUGUCUUGGGGAAUCAGGACUGUUACUUUGAAAAAACUUAGAGUGUUUAAAGCAAGCUAACGUUUGAAUACAUUAGCAUGGAAUAAUGAAAUAGGACGUUUGAUUCUAUUUUGUGGUUUCUAGGAUCG